UACGGGGGGAGCAAGCGUUGUUCGGAUUUACUGGGCGUAAAGGGCGCGUAGGCGGUCAGCACAAGUCAGUUGUGAAAUCUCCGGGCUUAACUCGGAAAGGUCAACUGAUACUGUCGGACUAGAGUACAGAAGGGGCAACUGGAAUUCUCGGUGUAGCGGUGAAAUGCGUAGAUAUCGAGAGGAACACCUGCGGCGAAGGCGGGUUGCUGGGCUGAUACUGACGCUGAGGCGCGAAAGCCAGGGGAGCGAACGGG
rnacentral:rRNA from 1 species